AGUGAACGCUGGCGGUAGGCCUAACACAUGCAAGUCGAACGGCAGCACAGUAAGAGCUUGCUCUUACGGGUGGCGAGUGGCGGACGGGUGAGGAAUACAUCGGAAUCUACUUUUUCGUGGGGGAUAACGUAGGGAAACUUACGCUAAUACCGCAUACGACCUACGGGUGAAAGCAGGGGAUCUUCGGACCUUGCGCGAUUGAAUGAGCCGAUGUCGGAUUAGCUAGUUGGCGGGGUAAAGGCCCACCAAGGCGACGAUCCGUAGCUGGUCUGAGAGGAUGAUCAGCCACACUGGAACUGAGACACGGUCCAGACUCCUACGAGAGGCAGCAGUGGGGAAUAUUGGACAAUGGGCGCAAGCCUGAUCCAGCCAUACCGCGUGGGUGAAGAAGGCCUUCGGGUUGUAAAGCCCUUUUGUUGGGGAAGAAAAGCAGCAGGUUAAUACCCCGCUGUUCUGACGGUACCCAAAGAAUAAGCACCGGCUAACUUCGUG
rnacentral:rRNA from 1 species